rnacentral:misc_RNA from 1 species
CUGAGAACAAGGGUCUGUGCGUGGCCGACCCCUAUGAGAUUACGGUGAUGAAGGAGUUCUUCAUUGACCUGCGCCUGCCCUACUCGGCAGUGAGGAACGAGCAGGUGGAGGUCCGCGCCAUUCUCUACAACUACUGGACGAACAAGAUCAAGGUGCGCGUGGAGCUGAUGUACAACCCAGCCCUGUGCAGCGCAUCCACCACCAAGACGCGCUACCAGCAGAUCUUCCAACUGGAACCUCAGUCGUCGCACGCCGUGCCCUUCGUCAUCGUGCCCCUGCAGCUGGGGCAGCAUGACGUCGAGGUGAAGGCAGCUGUCUGGAACAGCUUUGUGUCUGAUGGCGUCAAGAAGAAGCUCAGAGUGGUGCCUGAAGGGAUGAGGCUGGAGAAGACAGUGAAGAUAGUGGAGCUCGACCCAAAGACGCUGG